CAAUCUGUUGACUCAGCCAUUCACGCGGCCAGGAAACAACAAUAAAUGUGCGUGCUUUCCAGGAAAAGGCGCUGGGUUGGAGUGGGAAGACCCUGUUUCCAUCCCAGUGCAACCCUGGGAGACCUUGGACAAGGGUCUGCACCCCUCCAGCCUUUCAUUCAGGGAAACAGAGGAGACUGGACUGGAAUAGAAUUCUGAACGGUGCUCAGUUCGUGGGUGAUGAGUCAGAGAUUCCUGCUAAGGCACCUGUGGAAAUAACAGAAGAUGGCCCAAGUGCUUGGGCCCCUGCACCCACAUGGGAGACCAGGACAGAGUUCCUGCUCAUGGCUUUGCCUGACCCAGCCCCAGGUCAUUGCAGCCAUUUGGAGAGAGAGUAUUUCUUCAAGCACUCAAGACAAUUCUAAAAAAUCUGUGAACCAGGGCCGGCACUGUGGCAUAGCGGGUAAAGCCCAUGUGGGCGCCAGUUCGAGUCCCAGCUGUUCCACUUCUGAUCCAGCUCUCUGCUAUGGCCUGGGAAAGAAUUAGAAGAUGGCCCAAGUCCUUGGGCCCUUGCACCCAUGUGGGAGACCUGGAAGAAGCUCCUGGCUCCUGGCUUCAGAUCAGCCCAGUUCCAGCCAUUGCUGGGGAGUGAACCAGCGGAUGGAAGACAGACUCCCUCCCUCCCUCCCUCCCUCCCUCUCUCUCUCUCCCCCUCCCCUUCUCUCUCUCCUCUCAUUGUGUAACUCUGCCUCUCAAAUAAAUAAAUCUUUUUA